rnacentral:rRNA from 1 species
CAGCCGCCACGGUAACACAGAGGGUGCAAGCGUUAAUCGGAAUUACUGGGCGUAAAGCGCGCGUAGGUGGUUUGUUAAGUUGGAUGUGAAAGCCCCGGGCUCAACCUGGGAACUGCAUCCAAAACUGGCAAGCUAGAGUACGGUAGAGGGUGGUGGAAUUUCCUGUGUAGCGGUGAAAUGCGUAGAUAUAGGAAGGAACACCAGUGGCGAAGGCGACCACCUGGACUGAUACUGACACUGAGGUGCGAAAGCGUGGGGAGCAAACAGGAUUAGAUACCCCCGUAGUCCCUGUCUCUUAUAA